rnacentral:rRNA from 1 species
AGAGUUUGAUCCUGGCUCAGAUUGAACGCUGGCGGCAUGCCUUACACAUGCAAGUCGAACGGCAGCACGGGAGCAAUCCUGGUGGCGAGUGGCGAACGGGUGAGUAAUAUAUCGGAACGUGCCCAGUCGUGGGGGAUAACGCAGCGAAAGCUGUGCUAAUACCGCAUACGAUCUCUGGAUGAAAGCGGGGGACUCGCAAGGGCCUCGCGCGAUUGGAGCGGCCGAUAUCAGAUUAGCUAGUUGGUGGGGUAAAAGCCCACCAAGGCGACGAUCUGUAGCUGGUCUGAGAGGACGACCAGCCACACUGGAACUGAGACACGGUCCAGACUCCUACGGGAGGCAGCAGUGGGGAAUUUUGGACAAUGGGCGCAAGCCUGAUCCAGCAAUGCCGCGUGCAGGAUGAAGGCCUUCGGGUUGUAAACUGCUUUUGUACGGAACGAAACGGCUCUUUCUA